rnacentral:rRNA from 1 species
UACGGGGGGGGGCAAGCGUUGUUCGGAAUUACUGGGCGUAAAGGGCUCGUAGGCGGCCAACUAAGUCGGAUGUGAAAUCCCCAGGCUUAACCUGGGAACUGCAUCCGAUACUGGAUGGCUUGAAUCCGGGAGAGGGAUGCAGAAUUCCAGGUGUAGCGGUGAAAUGCGUAGAUAUCUGGAGGAAUACCGGUGGCGAAGGCGGCAUCCUGGGACCGGCAUUGACGCUGAGGAGCGAAAGCUAGGGGAGCAACGGGG